AUCUACAAGAGGAGUUGACUUAUAUUGUAAAAAAGCCAAAGAUACUGAAGAAAGAGUGAAAAGAACCACUGUUUAUUACCAAGGAAGGGUUAUUCAUUAUAAGAAAAAAGCCCACAAUAAUUGGGUAAGUUUCAAAUUGC